UAGCACCUCUCCCUUCACUCUCUUUCUCCUGUUUGGCCGUGUACCAAGUUCCUGCCUGUCUUCUGUCUUCACCCGUGACUUGCCUCAAGUAGUUGGCUCCUUUCCCACCGGCUACUUUGUAACUGCGAAUAUGACAACAUGACGGUGAUUCACAGAUGCCAAAAUAUGACGAGCAGAGCAAAUCUGUGUUCCAGAUAUGAUAAGGUCCCAUCUUCUUAGGAAGUUUUAAACAACUGUCAAAAGUAUGCACAAUCAAAAUCAAGAAUCAAAUCUGAAUAUCACCGUAACCCAUAUUUUGCUCAGUUACCAUCUUGUCAAUUGCUUUUCAGUGAUUUUUGCAUAAAGGUUUGUUCACUAAACUGAUAAAACAAAGUA
rnacentral:lncRNA from 1 species